UACGAAGGGGGCGAGCGUUGUUCGGAUUUACUGGGCGUAAAGGGCGCGUAGGCGGCCCUCCUUGUCGCGUGUGAAAGCCCCGGGCUCAACCUGGGAACGGCGCGCGAGACGGGGGGGCUGGAGUUCGGGAGAGGAGCGUGGAAUUCCACGUGUAGCAGUGAAAUGCGUAGAGAUGUGGAGGAACACCGAUGGCGAAGGCAGCCCCCUGGGUCAAGAUUGACGCUCAUGCACGAAAGCGUGGGGAGCAAACAGG
rnacentral:rRNA from 1 species